rnacentral:rRNA from 1 species
GGACGUCGAGGUGCCGUCUUUUAGAGUUUUGAAUAUGGCUCAGAGUGAACGCUGGCGGUAGGCCUAACACAUGCAAGUCGAACGGCAGCACAGGAGAGCUUGCUCUCUGGGUGGCGAGUGGCGGACGGGUGAGGAAUACAUCGGAAUCUACUCUGUCGUGGGGGAUAACGUAGGGAAACUUACGCUAAUACCGCAUACGACCUACGGGUGAAAGCAGGGGACCUUCGGGCCUUGCGCGAUUGAAUGAGCCGAUGUCGGAUUAGCUAGUUGGCGGGGUAAAGGCCCACCAAGGCGACGAUCCGUAGCUGGUCUGAGAGGAUGAUCAGCCACACUGGAACUGAGACACGGUCCAGACUCCUACGGGAGGCAGCAGUGGGGAAUAUUGGACAAUGGGCGCAAGCCUGAUCCAGCCAUACCGCGUGGGUGAAGAAGGCCUUCGGGUUGUAAAGCCCUUUUGUUGGGAAAGAAAUCCAGCUGGCUAAUACCCGGUUGGGAUGACGGUACCCAAAGAAUAAGCACCGGCUAACUUCGUGCCAGCAGCCGCGGUAAUACGAAGGGUGCAAGCGUUACUCGGAAUUACUGGGCGUAAAGCGUGCGUAGGUGGUCGUUUAAGUCCGUUGUGAAAGCCCUGGGCUCAACCUGGGAACUGCAGUGGAUACUGGGCGACUAGAAUGUGGUAGAGGGUAGCGGAAUUCCUGGUGUAGCAGUGAAAUGCGUAGAGAUCAGGAGGAACAUCCAUGGCGAAGGCAGCUACCUGGACCAACAUGACACUAGGCACGAAAGGACGGG